rnacentral:rRNA from 1 species
UACGGGGGGGGGCAAGCGUUGUUCGGAAUUACUGGGCGUAAAGGGCUCGUAGGCGGCCAACUAAGUCGGAUGUGAAAUCCCCAGGCUUAACCUGGGAACUGCAUCCGAUACUGGAUGGCUUGAAUCCGGGAGAGGGAUGCGGAAUUCCAGGUGUAGCGGUGAAAUGCGUAGAUAUCUGGAGGAAGACCAGUGGCGAAGGCGGGUCUCUGGACAGUUCCUGACGCUGAGGCACGAAGGUCAGGGGAGCAAACGGG